GGUUCCAUGGUGUAAUGGUUAGCACGCUGGACUUUGAAUCCAGUGAUCCGAGUUAAAAACUCGGGGGGAACCU